rnacentral:rRNA from 1 species
UCCAGACUCCUACGGGAGGCAGCAGUGGGGAAUAUUGGGCAAUGGGCGCAAGCCUGACCCAGCAACGCCGCGUGAAGGAAGAAGGCUUUCGGGUUGUAAACUUCUUUUAAGAGGGAAGAGAAGAAGACGGUACCUCUUGAAUAAGCCACGGCUAACUACGUGCCAGCAGCCGCGGUAAUACGUAGGUGGCAAGCGUUGUCCGGAUUUACUGGGUGUAAAGGGCGUGCAGCCGGGCUGACAAGUCAGAUGUGAAAUCCCGCGGCUCAACCGCGGAACUGCAUUUGAAACUGUCAGUCUUGAGUACCGGAGAGGUCAUCGGAAUUCCUUGUGUAGCGGUGGAAUGCGUAGAUAUUAGGAGGAACACCAGAGGCGAAGGCGAUUAACUGGACCGUAACUGACGCUGAGGCACGAAAGUGUGGGUAGCAAACAGGAUUAGAUACCCUUGUAU